GAUGAACGCUGGCGGCGUGCCUAAUACAUGCAAGUCGAGCGAACGGACGAGAAGCUUGCUUCUCUGAUGUUAGCGGCGGACGGGUGAGUAACACGUGGAUAACCUACCUAUAAGACUGGGAUAACUUCGGGAAACCGGAGCUAAUACCGGAUAAUAUUUUGAGCCGCAUGGUUCAAAAGUGAAAGACGGUCUUGCUGUCACUUAUAGAUGGAUCCGCGCUGCAUUAGCUAGUUGGUAAGGUAACGGCUUACCAAGGCAACGAUGCAUAGCCGACCUGAGAGGGUGAUCGGCCACACUGGAACUGAGACACGGUCCAGACUCCUACGGGAGGCAGCAGUAGGGAAUCUUCCGCAAUAGGCGAAAGCCUGACGGAGCAACGCCGCGUGAGUGAUGAAGGUCUUCGGAUCGUAAAACUCUGUUAUUAGGGAAGAACAUAUGUGUAAGUAACUGUGCACAUCUUGACGGUACCUAAUCAGAAAGCCACGGCUAACUACGUG
rnacentral:rRNA from 1 species